rnacentral:rRNA from 1 species
UACGUAGGGGGCAAGCGUUGUCCGGAUUUAUUGGGCGUAAAGAGCGUGUAGACGGCCGCACAGGUCCGUUGUGAAAACUGGAGGCUUAACCUUCAGACGUCGAUGGAAACCGUGCGGCUAGAGUCCGGAAGAGGAGAGUGGAAUUCCUGGUGUAGCGGUGAAAUGCGCAGAUAUCAGGAAGAACACCCGUGGCGAAGGCGGCUCUCUGGGACGGUACUGACGCUGAGACGCGAAAGCGUGGGGAGCGAACAGG